AUUAGACUUCAACAUUAACAAUAAUUUAGGCAUAUAGUGCCCACUUGCAAUUAUGAUUAUUAAGUACUCCGAAUUUUGUAAGUAGAACAAGAAUUGACUUAGAUUAGAAUAUAUAUAUAUAUAUGAGGAUUAAGAAAACACAUUUUUUAUAAUAAUAAUGAAACUUCCUAUCAAUUGAAACUAAAUAAUUUAAAAUUCUAAUCUUAUCAUCAUGGAAAUAGGUGAGUUAAUCAUAGAAAGCAAUAUAAAUGGAAGGGUUGUGGAUGCAUUUGUCUACCAAGCCAUUGAAUUUGCUUUAAAAAGUUAGUAUCCUUUCAAACAAGCAAAUUGUCUAGAAAUCAAUUAAGCACAUUGUUUCCCCCCCCCCCCCCCCCCCAAAAAAAAAAAAAAAAAAAAAAAAAAAAAACACUUAGCUUAUAUAGUAAAGAUAAUGGCGACCUCAAUUAAGUAUUUGAUGCCAACUAUCAUUGGAUUAUUGCUAAUAUUAAUGACACUUGAGUUAGCAUUAGGGCAGGAGUGCUACUUGAGAGGUUCUUCAUGCGGGCCUUCAGCUCCUUGUUGCGAAGGAUUAUCUUGUGCACUUGACUUCGGUUCGCCUGUGUGUUGUUCCUCGCAUUGGUGGGGUAUUUGGCAAGAUUGCAGCGAUUAGAGCGUGUGAUGGCAAGGCCGGCCUGGAUCGGACUCGACGCGAGCACGCAGGUUUAGGAUUCAAAGGGCUAAAUGCCUUCAUGAAUCUGAUUCGAUCUUAUGUUUCAUGCAUGACAUGUUUAUUUUUCUUGUGACUCUUGUAUUAAUGUUGUAUGCAUAUAUAUAUUGACUCAAUUUCUAUGCAUAUAUAUAUAUCUGUAUUACUAGUGUGUUUUUAUAUAUUUCUGUCAAUUGGUGUUGGAAUAAUGGAGAUAAUAGACUAUGUUGUAUCUCUUUGAUUUUAUGCCUUUCAUGCAAUGACUAGUGAAUUAUCAUCAAUCAUGUUAUUA